rnacentral:rRNA from 1 species
AUUGAACGCUGGCGGCAUGCCUUACACAUGCAAGUCGAAUGGCAGCACGGGUGCUUGCACCUGGUGGCGAGUGGCGAACGGGUGAGUAAUACAUCGGAACAUGUCCUGUAGUGGGGGAUAGCCCGGCGAAAGCCGGAUUAAUACCGCAUACGAUCCACGGAUGAAAGCGGGGGACCUUCGGGCCUCGCGCUAUAGGGUUGGCCGAUGGCUGAUUAGCUAGUUGGUGGGGUAAAGGCCUACCAAGGCGACGAUCAGUAGCUGGUCUGAGAGGACGACCAGCCACACGGGGACUGAGACACGGCCCAGACCCCUAGGGGAGGCAGGAGGGGGGAAUUUGGGAAAAUGGGCGAAACCCUGAUCCAGCAAUGCCGGGUGUGUGAAGAAGGCCUUCGGGUUGUAAAGCCCUUUUGUCCGGAAAAAAACCCUUGACUCUAAUACAGUCGGGGGAGGACGGUACCGGAAGAAUAAGCCCCGGCUAACCACGG